CCGCAGCGCCGGGGCGGAGGGCAGAGCUUGGGGAGAGGGGCAGUGGGCGGGAGGGUCUGGGGAGUCGGGCCUCCGCGGGGGGCUGCAGUGGUCUCCACCCAGGAGAACCACCGUCUGCACCUGGGAGCUCACAACGUGUGCCUCGGUGGGAAGCUUUUUGCCAGGAAGAUUAGCGCAAGACUGUGGGCGUGUUUACGUGGGAAGAAGCGUCUUGAUUUAAAAAGAGUGGUUAGAUGUGUUCCUCCUGUCACAGGGGACAAAUGCGUGGUACGGCGAGAAGAACAGAGGGCACCACCGAGGAGGCCAAGACAGCGGGCGCAGAGGGAAGGCCGAAGGAAGCGGAGGAGGUGGAGGGACUUACUGCGGAGCUGACUUCCCGGGCGGGGAGAAGAUAAGAGGCGCAUCUGUUGGGGCAGAACCAGAGCGGCACCCCCUGGAGCUGAGCCCUGCCUGCCGGGGUGUCCGGCACCCGGUAACGAAAGUCAGCAUCUUCCACUCCAAAUCCUUUCCUUUCCCUGCCUUCCCUGUUGUUUGUCAAGGGCCCCACUGUCCCCACUAACCUGGACUGCUCACUCCCCCAUCGCAUUGCUCACCAGAUCUCUCCUCCGGGAAGGCCUCCAUCUAGGCAUGAAGCCCGUCCACGCCCAGGACCCCCUCAGCUCUCACCUGGACCACUUCACAGCCUCUGAACCCCUCUCCCUGUGUCCACUCUGCCCUCCAUCCACCCGACAGACUCAACUCCCGCUCCGAUGCUGUCGCACCACCGCUCAACAGCUCCACUGGCUCCAACUGCCCGCAGACUUUUUUUGUAACUUCCAACAAAAAUGGAUCCAGUCCUCCUAUCGCAGAAGCCCCCGGGGACGGGGACACUAGGAUUAAAAGAUGUGGUGGUCGCCCACGAGGGCGGACAAAGACCCCAA